rnacentral:rRNA from 1 species
UACAGAGGGGGCAAGCGUUGUUCGGAAUUACUGGGCGUAAAGGGCGCGUAGGCGGCCUUCUAAGUCGAACGUGAAAUCCCCGGGCUCAACCCGGGAACUGCGUCCGAUACUGGAAGGCUUGAAUCCGGGAGAGGGAUGCGGAAUUCCAGGUGUAGCGGUGAAAUGCGUAGAUAUCUGGAGGAACACCGGUGGCGAAGGCGGCAUCCUGGACCGGUAUUGACGCUGAGGCGCUAAAGCUAGGGGAGCAAACGGG